rnacentral:rRNA from 1 species
AAGGUUAUUCCGCUUUAAGAUGAUUAGAUAAAUCAUAGAGAUAGGUAGUUGUUAAGGUAAUGGCUUAACUAGCCCAAAAUUCUCUUAGUCGAAACUGAAAUGGUUGAUCGACCACAUUGGGGCUGAAAAAAACCCAAUACAAGUGAGUACAGCAGUGGGGAAUAUUGGUCAAUGGCCUAACGGCUGAACUGGCAACUUGGAGGAAUGGCCUAUCUUACUAAGUAAAUAGUAAGAAUUAGAGUGAAAAUGGUUAAAUCGAUUAUCGAAUAAAAUUCUAAAUAUAUAAAUUAUAAUGACUAUAUAUAUUUAUGUCUUGACUAAUUACGUGCCAGCAGUCGCGGUAAUACGUAAGAGACUAGUGUUACUCAUUUUUAAUAGGUUUAAGGGUACCCAGACGGAAGAAAUUUGCCUGGAAAGGGACAAUUUUUAUCUAGAGUUUAAUAUAAGAAGGUCGUACUUGUGGAAUAGAGAUGAAAUACUUUUAUACCUAAUAAGGGACUGGUAAAGGCGAAAGCAACCUUUUAUGUAAAAACUGACGUUGAAGGACGAAGGCUUAGAACACGAAUAGGAUUAGAUACCCUAGUAGUCUUAGCAGAAAAUGAUGAAUGUCAUAGGUUAGGUUAUACUUAGUCUAUAAAUGAAAAUGUAAGCAUUUCACCUCAAGAGUAACGUGGCAACACGGAAACUGAAAUCACUAGACCGUUUCUGACAUCAGUAGUGAAGUAUGUUAUUUAAUUCGAUGAUCCACGAAAAACCUUACCACAAUUAGAAUUAUAUUUAUAAUAUAAAUAUUAUAAAUAUAACGAGUGUUGCACGGCUGUUUCCAGUUAAUGUUGUGAAACUAUGGCUUCGGCCAUGAAAUUAACGAAAACCCUUGCUUUAUUUAUAGAAAAUUUUUAAUAAAGCUGCUUUUAUCAUUAUACCGAUAAAAUAGUAGGGCCAAAGACAAGUCAUCAUGGCCUUUAUAUUGUGGGCUAUAGACGUGCCACAUAUUCCUAGACAAAGAGAUGCGAAAAUGCGAAUUUAAGCUAAUCUCAAAAAAUAGGAUAAAAUAGGAUAAGGAUUGUAGUCUGAAACUCGACUACAUGAAUAAGUAAUUACUAGUAAUCGUGAAUC